rnacentral:rRNA from 1 species
CUCCCCGAAAGCUAUUUAGGUAGCGCCUCGUGAAUUCAUCUCCGGGGGUAGAGCACUGUUUCGGCUAGGGGGCCAUCCCGGCUUACCAACCCGAUGCAAACUGCGAAUACCGGAGAAUGUUAUCACGGGAGACACACGGCGGGUGCUAACGUCCGUCGUGAAGAGGGAAACAACCCAGACCGCCAGCUAAGGUCCCAAAGUCAUGGUUAAGUGGGAAACGAUGUGGGAAGGCCCAGACAGCCAGGAUGUUGGCUUAGAAGCAGCCAUCAUUUAAAGAAAGCGUAAUAGCUCACUGGUCGAGUCGGCCUGCGCGGAAGAUGUAACGGGGCUAAACCAUGCACCGAAGCUGCGGCAGCGACGCUGAUG